rnacentral:lncRNA from 1 species
GCCGGAAGUGCGUCCGUCCGGGCGAGGAAGGAAAUAGGGCGCGGGGCGCCGGCCGUGGAAGAACUCCAUUCAGAGGCAGUCGUGAUAAACCAGAGCAUCAGCCCUUUCCGCUGGGAUACCAAUAAGUCUUGAACUUCAAAACUGCUGACCUAAAAAGGAUACUUGAGAAGGAGCAAGUCUUUCCUUUUUUCUUUUAAAGAAAGCAACACCAGAAGCAGUCGAACUUCCUUGUUCACUUAGGUGCAUGCAAAAAAGAAAACAGGUUUACUCUGCUUCAGGACCCUCUCUUACCCCUCAUGGCGUGAGCCUGAAGCCUGUCCACUGAGGAGCGUUCUAAGAACUUCCAGAUCAUUCCAUGGAACUACAGCAGAAAGGACCCGAGGUGAGAAGAGCUAAGACCUGACCUUCGGGCACAUGCUGAGAAACUCGCCCACAAGUGUUUGGAGGAACCCAAAGACAAACAGCAGCCAAUGUGCUGGACGUCGGCCACAAGGCAGGUGUUUUGGAGGGAACAGGCUGUGGUUGGGAACAGGGAGCAGGGCGGGUGGGAGGGAAAGAAACUUUCUCAAGAAGAGGUUCCGGGGAAGCAGGGAGACUUGCGAGGCUGUCGCAAGGGCAGAAGGACGUUUGUGGAGGGUGGGAGGACUCAGCUGCCGCCUGAGAGGUACCCGGAGCAGAGCAAAUCCACAGCCAAUGAGGGGGCUUUUAUAUUGGGGUCCCCUGCCUGACGACCCCAGGAGGGAAGCGUCCCCGGCCCUUUCUUCAUCGUGAAGCGAACCCUGCGAGGUUUGCAAGGUGAGUUUAGAACAGUGUCCGUGACGUGGGCCCCUAUAGAUGUUUGCUGAUGGGCUUCAUUUAGCUCACUCCAGGAGAAGGGGCACCCACAGUUUGGGGGCCCCUGUCCUGCCCAGCACAAGCUGUGAAGAGGGUGCUUUUACACCCAUUGUCCUUAGUGACUCAGGCAAAGGAGCCAAGAGGUGACAUUGAAAACUGGGCUGGCAUUUGCAGCUACGUGGUGGGACCUGGAGAUUCUCAUACUAAGUGCAGUGAGUGAGAGGAAGUCAAAUGCUGUGUGGUAUCACUUCUGUGUGGAAUCUAAAAUGUGACACACAUAAACCACCUACCGACAAAACAGAGAGACGCGUGGACACAGAGAACAGACUUGUGGUUGCCAAGGGCGGGGGCAGUGGGACGGGCCGGGAGUCGGGGAUUAGCAGAUGCAAUCUCUGACCUGUAAUGGGUAAACAGCAAGGUCCUACUAUACGAACAGGGCAUCACAUUCAGUCUCCUGGGAAAGAGCGUAAUGGAAAAGGAGCGUAAGUGGACUGGGACACUUUCAACCCUGCCAAAGGGCCUGGAGACAGAAGGCGAGGCGCCUCUUAGAAGGAGAAAUGGCCAGUGGUUCCAUGGAAGGGAGGAGAGGCUUUAGAAUAAAAUGCACGUCCCGCCCCCUUGUCCCCCCCACCCCACCCCCCCAAUAACCUGCCAGUGGGAUUCCCUGGUCAGGUCCUCACUGAAGCAUUUCUAGGUCACUGUCUCGGGCACCAGGGCAGCAGGUGAGAGGCAUGACUGUGACCUUAUUGCAGCCCCUGCCCGCAGCCCUCGCCGCCUCCCUGCCAUCUCUGAGCCAGGCAGCCGCUCACAGGGUCCAGGGAUGCUGCGGCAGCUAGGGUCCUCUCCCGCUUCUCUCUUGUUUCCUUCAGACUUUAGCCGCCCUUGGGGUGAUUUUCUUUCUUUGUCUUCUUGGUUCAUUUGUUUUUCCUUCCUUCACCCCACUGGACAGUGAGCUCUGUUGGGGGGGGACUCUGUCCUCGGUCUGGCUUCAUCACCUCGGUGACUAAACAAUGCCCGGGUAAGAAAUAUUUGCUGAAUUUAAGGAAUGAGUGAGUGAAGACGCAAGAAGAAAUGAGUACGUGGAGUUUAUUAGUGUAACACACGAUGAAAGAACUCACCAUUUCCUUGUUUUCACCUGUUUUGCCCCAUGCCCGCCUAGGCCUGUGGUUUCCUUUUUCUUCUCUCUCUUUUUUUUUUUUUCCCUUCAGUCCUGUGGUUUCUACUCUAAUCCUACUGCUUAGUCACUACCUGGUUGUGAUUUACCUGCAUCAGCUGCCAAGAGAGUGUGAGAUGGGAGGGGGAGACCCCGGACGAGGAGGCCCGCCCCGGGUUCUGGUCCCUCUGGCCUCAUCUCUUGUCUCUUUACGACAGGUUCCAAUCCCCUUGAAAACGGCCCCCUCCGCCCAGACUCCUGAGUGCCCCUGGGCCUUUGCAUCUGCUCCUCCUUCUGCUUUCCUCCCGCCCCUGCUUGGCCCGCCCCUCGGAGCUGAGCAGCUCCACGUGGGCGCCUCGGCCAUCCUGUGUAUCUCCGACCUCACACUUAGCCUGUCCCUGUGCUGUUUGAGUGUCUGCUUUUAUUGACUCACACAUCGGUGAAUAUUUCCUGAGCAUCCGUGAUGUCUUAGGCACUGCUCUAGGGACUGGGGAUAUAACAGGGAACAGAAUAAGCAAGGUCUCUGUGCACUGGGGCUGACAGUUGAGUGGAAAGAGACAAGCAGCUCACAAAUAAGGAACACAGUUAUAUGUCGCAUCUAACAAGUGCAGUGAAGAAACAAAACAGGGAAGGCAGAUGGAGACAGGGGUUGGAAGGCUGUUUUAGAUGAAGCGGUUGGGAAAGGCAGCUGGCAAGGGAAUGUUGCAUCAUCGGCUCAAAGGAAUGGGGGGGCAAGCGAUGAAGGAUGGGGUGGGGGGCCCAUGGUGGUCAAGCGGUGGAAAAGCCAGAGCAAAGGCCCUGAGGCAGGAAGCGCUUGUUCUGUUCGGGACACUGGAGAAGCAGGGUGGUGUGGCUAGAGCACGUCCCCCUCCAGUCCAAGCUGUGGACUCCAUGGGGUUAGACACCAUGUCCCCCUGGCUCAAGGGCGUGUCCCUAAUAUCUGGCUUGAGGCUGGCUCAUGCCCUAAAGAUGGAGAGCCAAUUCACACCUUGGAACAGCUUCCCUCUGUCUAGUUUCACCAAAAGGCCUUGAGUGAGACAGAGCGAGAAAGACAUGGGACGUUGGACAAGGGCAGGUCCGGGCACUAGAAGAACUGAGCAGUAAACAGCCAGGGGCUGCGGGUCCUGCUCCAUGCUCCAAGGCUCAAAGCUCAGGAUGGCAGAGGGCUCUGGGAAGGGCUUCUGAUCAUCACCUUGUGUUAUUAAAGCCAUACUUUUUUUUUUUUGGUCCUUUUAUGGGGGGUCGGGGGACUGCACCCAUGGCGUAUGGAAGUUCCCAGGCCAGGGGUCCAAUCAGAGCUAUAGGUGCCGACCUACACCACAGCCACAGCAACGCCAGAUCUGAGCCGCAGCUGGGACCUACACCACUGUUCACAGCAACGCCAGAUCCUUAACCCACUGACCAAGGCCAGGGAUCAAACCUGCAUCCUCACGGGUACCAGUCAGAUUCGUAACCCGCUGAGCUACAACGGGGACUCCCAAGCUGUGCUCUCUUCAGUGACCAGUGACUCCACAGCAGAUACACCCGGUAUCCUCGGUCACCAGCAGCGCCUGGGACUGCACGCGACGCAGGCUUGCGUGGCACAAUUACGGAGACUGGAUGAGAUGUUCUCUCCAUUCUGCAGGUGAACAGGCUGACCUUGAGAGUGGUCACGUAAGUGGCCCAAGGUCACACAGCUCACGGCAGAGACAAGCCGUGCACCCAGGCUGUCGGGCUCUGCCGCCUUGGCCCCGGCCACUGUUCCAUAAAUGCCGCCUCCUCCAGGCCCAUCACGGCGGCGAUGGACCGCAGGCCCAGGCUGAGACUCAGAUGUGAGUUCGCUGUGACCCACAGCCGCGUAUUUUCACAUCAAAGAGCAACGCCCCCAUGGUUUGCGUCUGGAUUGGGAUCAACCCAGAAAUGAGUGUAAAGACCAACCACAGUCUUUGAUGAGGACUCCAUGUCCAGGGAGGCUCCAAAGUGACUGAGGGCUGUAGGU